GAACGGGUGAGUAACACGUGAGUAACCUGCCCUGGACUCUGGGAUAACCCCGAGAAAUCGGAGCUAAUACCGGAUAGGACCUUUCCUCGCAUGGGGUUUGGUGGAAAGUUUUUCGGUUUGGGAUGGACUCGCGGCCUAUCAGCUUGUUGGUGAGGUAAUGGCUCACCAAGGCGUCGACGGGUAGCCGGCCUGAGAGGGUGACCGGCCACACUGGGACUGAGACACGGCCCAGACUCCUACGGGAGGCAGCAGUGGGGAAUAUUGCACAAUGGGCGCAAGCCUGAUGCAGCAACGCCGCGUGCGGGAUGACGGCCUUCGGGUUGUAAACCGCUUUUAGUAAGGAAGAAGGGGAGCUUGCUCCUUGACGGUACUUGCAGAAAAAGGACCGGCUAACUACGUGCCAGCAGCCGCGGUAAUACGUAGGGUCCGAGCGUUGUCCGGAAUUAUUGGGCGUAAAGAGCUCGUAGGCGGUUUGUCGCGUCUGCUGUGAAAUCUAGAGGCUCAACCUCUAGCCUGCAGUGGGUACGGGCAGACUUGAGUGGUGUAGGGGAGACUGGAAUUCCUGGUGUAGCGGUGGAAUGCGCAGAUAUCAGGAGGAACACCGAUGGCGAAGGCAGGUCUCUGGGCACUUACUGACGCUGAGGAGCGAAAGCGUGGGGAGCGAACAGGAUUAGAUACCCUGGUAGUCCACGCCGUAAACGUUGGGCGCUAGAUGUGGGGACCUUUCCACGGUUUCCGUGUCGUAGCUAACGCAUUAAGCGCCCCGCCUGGGGAGUACGGCCGCAAGGCUAAAACUCAAAGGAAUUGACGGGGGCCCGCACAAGCGGCGGAGCAUGCGGAUUAAUUCGAUGCAACGCGAAGAACCUUACCAAGGCUUGACAUGACCGAGAACGCCGCAGAAAUGUGGAACUCUUUGGACACUCGGUUACAGGUGGUGCAUGGUUGUCGUCAGCUCGUGUCGUGAGAUGUUGGGUUAAGUCCCGCAACGAGCGCAACCCUCGUCGCAUGUUGCCAGCACGUUAUGGUGGGGACUCAUGUGAGACUGCCGGGGUCAACUCGGAGGAAGGUGGGGAUGACGUCAAAUCAUCAUGCCCCUUAUGUCUUGGGCUUCACGCAUGCUACAAUGGCCGGUACAAAGGGCUGCGAUGUCGUAAGGCGGAGCGAAUCCCAAAAAGCCGGUCUCAGUUCGGAUUGAGGUCUGCAACUCGACCUCAUGAAGUCGGAGUCGCUAGUAAUCGCAGAUCAGCAACGCUGCGGUGAAUACGUUCCCGGGCCUUGUACACACCGCCCGUCAAGUCAUGAAAGUC
rnacentral:rRNA from 1 species